rnacentral:rRNA from 1 species
UACAGAGGGUGCAAACGUUGCUCGGAAUUAUUGGGCGUAAAGCGCGUGUAGGCGGCUUGUUAAGUCGGUUGUGAAAACCCAUGGCUCAACCAUGGAAGCGCGUCCGAAACUGGCAAGCUGGAGUCCCGACGAGGGUGGCGGAAUUCCCAGUGUAGAGGUGAAAUUCGUAGAUAUUGGGAGGAACAUCGGUGGCGAAGGCGGCCACCUGGGAGGGUACUGACGCUGAGACGCGAAAGCGUGGGGAGCAAACAGG